rnacentral:misc_RNA from 1 species
GAUGAAGAACGCAGCGAAAUGCGAUAAGUAGUGUGAAUUGCAGAAUUUAGUGAAUCAUCGAAUCUUUGAACGCACAUUGCGCCCUUUGGUAUUCCUUAGGGCAUGCCUGUUCGAGCGUCAUUUAAACCUUCAAGCUCAGCUUGGUGUUGGGUGACUGUCCGCUUCACCGCGGACUCGCCUCAAAAUUAUUGGCGGCCGGUACAUUGGCUCUCGAGCGCAGCAGAAACGCGUAACUCGAGGUCCUCGUGCUGGCUCCCAGAAGCUAUCUUCACAAUUUUGACCUCGGAUCAGGUAGGGAUACCCGCUGAACUUAAGCAUAUCAAUAAGCGGAGGA